rnacentral:rRNA from 1 species
UACGGAGGGUGCGAGCGUUGUCCGGAAUCACUGGGCGUAAAGGGCGCGUAGGCGGCUUGGCAAGUGGAUGGUGAAAUCCCUCGGCUUAACCGAGGAACUGCCAUCCAGACUGCUUUGCUUGAGGCCGGGAGAGGUGAGUGGAAUUCCCAGUGUAGCGGUGAAAUGCGUAGAUAUUGGGAGGAACACCAGUGGCGAAGGCGGCUCACUGGACCGGUUCUGACGCUGAGGCGCGAAAGCGUGGGGAGCAAACGGG